rnacentral:rRNA from 1 species
CCUACGGGUGGCAGCAGUGAGGAAUAUUGGUCAAUGGGCGAGAGCCUGAACCAGCCAAGUCGCGUGAGGGAGUACUGCCCUAUGGGUCGUAAACCUCUUUUGUCGGGGAGCAAAAGCCGGACGUGUUCGGCUGUGAGAGUACCCGAAGAAAAAGCAUCGGCUAACCCCGUGCCAGCAGCCGCGGUAAUACGGAGGAUGCGAGCGUUUUCCGGAUUUAUUGGGUUUAAAGGGGGCGCAGGCGGAUUUUUAAUUCAGCGGUCAAAUCGGGGGGCUCAAACCAGUACAGCCGUUGAAACUGGGGGUCUUGAGUAUGCGAGAGGUAUGCGGAAUGCGUGGUGUAGCGGUGAAAUGCAUAGAUAUCACGCAGAACCCCGAUUGCGAAGGCAGCAUACCGGUGCACAACUGACGCUGAGGCACGAAAGCGUGGGUAUCGAACAGGAUUAGAUACCCUUGUAGUC